AUAAUACUCCCUUUGUCCGGAAUUACUUGUCAUCAAAAUGGAUGUGUCUAGAACUAAAAUACAUCUAGAUACAUCCAUUUCAAUGACAAGUAUUUUCGGACGGAGGGAGUAGUAG
rnacentral:pre_miRNA from 1 species